UACAGAGGGUGCGAGCGUUAAUCGGAAUUACUGGGCGUAAAGCGCGCGUAGGCGGCUUUGCAAGUCGGGUGUGAAAUCCCCAGGCUUAACCUGGGAACUGCAUUCGAGACUGCAUUGCUAGAGUAUGGGAGAGGGAAGUGGAAUUUCCGGUGUAGCGGUGAAAUGCGUAGAUAUCGGAAGGAACAUCAGUGGCGAAAGCGGCGUCCUGGACCAAUACUGACACUGAAACGCGAAAGCCAGGGGAGCAAACGGG
rnacentral:rRNA from 1 species